AGAGUUUGAUCCUGGCUCAGGAUGAACGCUGGCGGCAUGCCUAAUACAUGCAAGUCGAACGAGAGGAAGGAAAGCUUGCUUUUCUGAAUCUAGUGGCGAACGGGUGAGUAACACGUAGGUAACCUGCCCAUGUGCCCGGGAUAACUUCUGGAAACGGAUGCUAAAACCGGAUAGGUAGCAGACAAGCAUUUGACUGCUAUUAAAGUGGCUAAGGCCAUGAACAUGGAUGGACCUGCGGUGCAUUAGCUAGUUGGUGAGGUAACGGCCCACCAAGGCGACGAUGCAUAGCCGGCCUGAGAGGGCGGACGGCCACAUUGGGACUGAGACACGGCCCAAACUCCUACGGGAGGCAGCAGUAGGGAAUUUUCGUCAAUGGGGGGAACCCUGAACGAGCAAUGCCGCGUGAGUGAGGAAGGUCUUCGGAUCGUAAAGCUCUGUUGUAAGAGAAAAACGACAUUCAUAGGGAAUGAUGAGUGAGUGAUGGUAUCUUACCAGAAAGUCACGGCUAACUACGUGCCAGCAGCCGCGGUAAUACGUAGGUGGCGAGCGUUAUCCGGAAUGAUUGGGCGUAAAGGGUGCGUAGGUGGCAGAACAAGUCUGGAGUAAAAGGUAUGGGCUCAACCCGUACUGGCUCUGGAAACUGUUCAGCUAGAGAACAGAAGAGGACGGCGGAACUCCAUGUGUAGCGGUAAAAUGCGUAGAUAUAUGGAAGAACACCGGUGGCGAAGGCGGCCGUCUGGUCUGUUGCUGACACUGAAGCACGAAAGCGUGGGGAGCAAAUAGGAUUAGAUACCCUAGUAGUCCACGCCGUAAACGAUGAGAACUAGGUGUUGGGGGAAUAACUCAGUGCCGCAGUUAACGCAAUAAGUUCUCCGCCUGGGGAGUAUGCACGCAAGUGUGAAACUCAAAGGAAUUGACGGGGGCCCGCACAAGCGGUGG
rnacentral:rRNA from 1 species